GUUAAAAAAACUCUGAAUGCUUCCUGGGUCCAAACGUUGUUUGGUCUGAUAUUUAAUUUACCCUUCUUUUUUGUCCAAACCCAAAACGAUUAACGAACUGUAGGUACUUGUUGCCCAGAAAGUCCAGAACUGCUGAUCAAUUUAAGUUAUGUUUUUUUUUUUUUUUUUUUUUUUUUUUUUCUAAGAAUCUAAACUGUUGCUCCUGUAGUGAAACUUCUGUGGGUUUGUAACGAACAACGGACUUCCGUUGAUCCAGACGAAUGAGAAAGCAAUAAUUGUAAAUCAGCAAAAAAGUCAAAUGAGAAGUGUCUUGAUUAGCUGCGCCUCUAUUUUUAGAUAAAGAUGGUUUAGUUUGCUACGAGAUGGAUAAGGAGUGUUACAGUAAUAUAUUUACCCUGAUAUAUUAUUUUUGCUUUGUGUGUGUGUGUGUGUGUGUGUGUGUGUGUGUGUGUGUGUGUGUGUGUGUGUGUGUUGGGGGGUGGGGGGGCUGGUUUGUUACUGCUCUGCUUUGGGUUCCUGGUUUUGGUGUUUUCAGUAUUUUUUGUGUGUGUUUUCUACCAAACUAUGACGAUAAUUACAACGGUGAGUCCGGCUCAUUUCAACGCAUCAAGAAACUGUUUUACAAAAGGUUGUUUUUGUUUUGUUUAGAAAAUGAUGUUUUGGGUGGAAAAUUAAUGUAAGUGAUGAGUUUCUUAUUUGUAAAAAUGACCGUUCGCUAAACCCCGCCUUCCCGUAUAGUGUUGUCCAAUCACAGCUAGGCACGACAGCUCAGUUGGCUUUCAUGUACAUUCAUGUGCUCCUCGGAUGGUCCGAGUUUCCGAGAUCGGAAAGUUGUUGACCAGUGUUUACGUGCUCUCAAGUCGAAAAGUCGGAAUGUUGAACUAAUAAUGAACCACAUUCAAAAUUAUAUUUGAGUAAAAAGUUGAUAUAUAAUACGUGAAUUAAAGGCAAUUCUUUACUUCCAUGUUUUCUACAUCAUCAACAGCAGAGAAUGAUUUUACCUGAGACCUGUUAACUUUAGUCAACUCAUAGAGCUAACCUUCGCUUAAAAAGUUAGCUAGCUAGCUAGCUACAAUGAUAAAUUGCCGCUAGAAAUGAGAAGCUGCUUUUCGUUUACUUCUGUCGAAAAUGGAGGAAAUCACUAAGAAAUCUGCCGCCGUUAUCACCGUAAGCUGUACGUGUGGCGUUCGAGAACAGAAAGAUUGAGCGGCGUAGCAACAGUAACUAAGGAGGGCGGGGCUUAACGAACAGUGAACUUGUUAGCAUUAUUUUUUAAAUUACUAUUAUUGUUGGAAACUGGCAGAACAAAGAUGUGUAAAACAGGUUGCCAUUUAACGUGUGUGUGUGUGUCUGUGUGUGUGUGUGUGUGUGUGUGUGUGUGUGUGUGUGUGUGUGUG